AACGAACGCUGGCGGCAUGCCUAACACAUGCAAGUCGAACGAUGCCUUCGGGCAUAGUUGCGCACGGGUGAGUAACGCGUGGGAACCUGCCCUGUGGUACGGCCUAACUCCGGGAAACUGGAGCUCAUACCGUAUGUGUCUCCUGGGACAAAGAUUUAUCGCCACGGGAUGGGCCCGCGUAGGAUUAGCUUGUUGGUGUGGUAACGGCCUACCAAGGCUACGAUCCUUAGCUGGUCUGAGAGGAUGAUCAGCCACACUGGGACUGAGACACGGCCCAGACUAGGACGAGAGGCAGCAGUGGGGAAUAUUGAACAAGGGACGCAAGCCGGAGCAAGCAAGGCCGCGUGAGUGAUGAAGGCCUUCGGGUGGGAAAGAUCUUUCGCACGCGAAGAUGAUGACGGUAGCGUGAGAAGAAGCCCCGGCUAACUUCGUG
rnacentral:rRNA from 1 species